rnacentral:rRNA from 1 species
CCUACGGGAUGCAGCAGUGGGGGAUAUUGCACAAUGGGGGAAACCCUGAUGCAGCGACGCCGCGUGGGUGAAGAAGCGCCUCGGCGCGUAAAGCCCUGUCAGCAGGGAAGAAAAUGACGGUACCUGAAGAAGAAGCCCCGGCUAACUACGUGCCAGCAGCCGCGGUAAUACGUAGGGGGCAAGCGUUAUCCGGAUUUACUGGGUGUAAAGGGGGCGCAGACGGCGAUGCAAGCCAGGAGUGAAAGCCCGGGGCCCAACCCCGGGACUGCUCUUGGAACUGCGUGGCUAGAGUGCAGGAGGGGCAGGUGGAAGUCCUGGUGUAGCGGUGAAAUGCGUAGAUAUCAGGAGGAACACCGGUGGCGAAGGCGGCCUGCUGGACUGCAACUGACGUGGAGGCCCGAAAGCGUGGGGAGCAAACAGGAUUAGAUACCCGUGUAGUC